UCCCCGUUCUCCUGGGCAGUCUCUCUAGAGUGCCCAGCUUAACCUGAUGGCAACUAGUAGCGAGGGUUGCGCUCGUUGCGGGACUUAACCCAACAUCUCACGACACGAGCUGACGACAGCCAUGCAGCACCUGUGCAUGGAUCCCGAAGGAGGCUCCUCGUUUCUGAGGAGGUUCCCAUGCAUGUCAAGCCUAGGUAAGGUUCUUCGCGUUGCGUCGAAUUAAACCACAUGCUCCACCGCUUGUGCGGGCCCCCGUCAAUUCCUUUGAGUUUCAGUCUUGCGACCGUACUCCCCAGGCGGAGUGCUUAAUGCGUUUACUGCAGCACUAAAGGGCGGAAACCCUCUAACACUUAGCACUCAUCGUUUACGGCGUGGACUAC
rnacentral:misc_RNA from 1 species